ACCCUGAACUGCAGCAACAUGCUCGUGGAAGAGCAAUUGGAAGGCGUGUAAGAAUACGUGGUGGUGGUAGAGGAAGAAAUAAUCGAGGAAGAGGUGGAAAUAGAAGAAAUAAUUUUUUUUUUUUCCAUGAAUGUUAUUUGUUGUUUGUGUAUUUGUGGUAAUACACAAAUAUGAAAUGUAAAGUGAAAUCUUGUUACUCUUGUCAGUUACUUUACAUGUACAGUAAAUACACUUGUAUUGUGUAUAUACACAUGAAGUACAAAAAUAAACACUGUAAAAAUACAAAUGUU